rnacentral:misc_RNA from 1 species
UGGCUCUAGCAUCGAUGAAGAACGCAGCGAAAUGCGAUAAGUAGUGUGAAUUGCAGGCUCUAGUGAAUCAUCGAAUCUUUGAACGCACAUUGCGCCCCUUGGUAUUCCACUGGGCAUGCCUGUUCGAGCGUCAUCCAGCUCUCAAGCACUGCUUGGUGUUGGGCGUCUCCACGGUCUUUGUGGACUCACCUUAAUUGCAUUGGCAGCAGGCUAGCUAGGUCAUCCGCGCAGCACAUCUUGCGUGCGACUUCCAGCGAGUCUACGUCCAUCAAGGCCACUACAGCUUGACCUCGAAUCAGGUAGGGAUACCCGCUGA